UGCCAGCAGCCGCGGUAAUACGAAGGGGGCUAGCGUUGUUCGGAUUUACUGGGCGUAAAGAGCACGUAGGCGGCUUAAUAAGUUAGAUGUGAAAUCCCGGAGCUCAACUCCGGAACUGCCUUUAAAACUAUUAAGCUAGAGGAUGAUAGAGGAUAGCGGAAUUUCCAGUGUAGAGGUGAAAUUCGUAGAUAUUGGAAGGAACACCAGUGGCGAAAGCGGCUAUCUGGAUCAUAUCUGACGCUGAGGUGCGAAAGCGUGGGGAGCAAACGGGAUGAGAUA
rnacentral:rRNA from 1 species